UCGCGAAAACUUCACAAUGGGGGGAAACCCCGAUGAGGGAAUUCCAAGUGCCAGCACAUUGUGUUGGCUGUUCUCUGGUCUAAAAAACCGGAGAAGUAAGGGCCGGGUAAGACGGGUGCCAGCCGCCGCGGUAAUACCCGCGGCCCGAGUGGUGGUCGAUAUUAUUGAGCCUAAAACGUCCGUAGCCGGUCCUGUAAAUCCUUGGGUAAAUCGACCAGCUUAACUGUUCGAAGUCCGGGGAGACUGCAAGACUUGGGAUCGGGAGAGGUCAGAGGUACUUCUGGGGUAGGGGUAAAAUCCUGUAAUCCUAGAAGGACCACCGGUGGCGAAGGCGUCUGACUAGAACGAAUCCGACGGUGAGGGACGAAGCCCUGGGGCGCAAACGGGGAUUAGGAUACCCCGGUAGUCCGAGGGUGUAAACGCUGCGGGCUUGGUGUUGGGGUCCUUUGAGGGCGCCCAGUGCCGGAGAGAAGUUGUUAAGCCUGCUGCUUGGGGAGUACGUCCGCAAGGAUGAAACUUAAAGGAAUUGGCGGGGGAGUACCACAACGCGUGGAGCCUGCGGUUUAAUUGGAUUCAAC
rnacentral:rRNA from 1 species